rnacentral:rRNA from 1 species
GACGAACGCUGGCGGCGUGCCUAAUACAUGCAAGUUGAGCGAUGAAGAUUGGUGCUUGCACCAAUUUGAAGAGCAGCGAACGGGUGAGUAACGCGUGGGGAAUCUGCCUUUGAGCGGGGGACAACAUUUGGAAACGAAUGCUAAUACCGCAUAAUAACUUUAAACAUAAGUUUUAAGUUUGAAAUAUGCAAUUGCAUCACUCAAAGAUGAUCCCGCGUUGUAUUAGCUAGUUGGUGAGGUAAAGGCUCACCAAGGCGAUGAUACAUAGCCGACCUGAGAGGGUGAUCGGCCACAUUGGGACUGAGACACGGCCCAAACUCCUACGGGAGGCAGCAGUAGGGAAUCUUCGGCAAUGGACGAAAGUCUGACCGAGCAACGCCGCGUGAGUGAAGAAGGUUUUCGGAUCGUAAAACUCUGUUGGUAGAGAAGAACGUUGGUGAGAGUGGAAAGCUCAUCAAGUGACGGUAACUACCCAGAAAGGGACGGCUAACUACGUG